GACGAACGCUGGCGGCGUGCUUAACACAUGCAAGUCGAACGGUGAACCGGGCUUCGGCCCGGGGAUCAGUGGCGAACGGGUGCGUAACACGUGGGCAACCUGCCUCAGACACUGGGAUAACCCCGGGAAACCGGGGCUAAUACCGGAUACUCCGACCGGACUGCAUGAUCCGGCCGGGAAAGCUCCGACGGUCUGAGAUGGGCCCGCGGCCUAUCAGCUUGUUGGUGGGGUAACGCCCACCAAGGCGACGACGGGAGCUGGUCUGAGAGGACGACCAGCCACACUGGAACUGAGACACGGUCCAGACUCCUACGGGAGGCAGCAGUGGGGAAUCUUGCGCAAUGGGCGAAAGCCUGACGC
rnacentral:rRNA from 1 species